UACGUAGGGUCCAAGCGUUAUCCGGAAUCACUGGGCGCAAAGCGUGCGUAGGUGGCGCGUUAAGUGAGAUGUUGAAUCGUGUGGCUCAACCAUAUCGAUGCAUCUCAUACUGGCGUGCUAGAGGACAGCAGAGGCAAGUGGAAUUGGUAGUGUAGCAGUGAAAUGCGUAGAUAUUACCAGGAACGCCAAUGGCGAAGGCAGCUUGCUGGGCUACUCCUGACACUGAGGUACGAAAGCGUGGGGAGCGAACAGG
rnacentral:rRNA from 1 species